rnacentral:rRNA from 1 species
AGCGGACGCUGGCGGCAGGCCUAACACAUGCAAGUCGAACGAAGUCUUCGGACUUAGUGGCGGACGGGUGAGUAACACGUGGGAACGUGCCUUUAGGUUCGGAAUCACUCAGGGAAACUUGCGCUAAUACCGAAUGUGCCCUUCGGGGGCAAGAUUUAUCGCCUUUAGAGCGGCCCGCGUCUGGUUAGCUAGUUGGUGAGGUAAAGGCUCACCAAGGCGACGAUCAGUAGCUGGUCUGAGAGGAUGAUCAGCCACAUUGGGAAUGAGACACGGCCCAAACUCCUACGGGAGGCAGCAGUGGGGAAUCUUGCGCAAUGGGCGAAAGCCUGACGCAGCCAUGCCGCGUGAAUGGUGAAGGUCUUAGGAUUGUAAAAUUCUUUCACCGGGGACGAUAAUGACGGUACCCGGAGAAGAAGCCCCGGCUAACUUCGUGCCAGCCGCCGCCGUAA